AAAUGAAUAGACGGGGGCCCGCACAAGCGGCGGAGCAUGUGGAUUAAUUCGAUGCAACGCGAAGAACCUUACCUGGGCUUGACAUACACCGGACCGGACUAGAGAUAGUCCUUCCCUUGUGGCUGGUGUACAGGUGGUGCAUGGUUGUCGUCAGCUCGUGUCGUGAGAUGUUGGGUUAAGUCCCGUAACGAGCGCAACCCUUGUCUUAUGUUGCCAGCACGUAAAGGUGGGGACUCAUGAGAGACUGCCGGGGUUAACUCGGAGGAAGGUGGGGAUGACGUCAAAUCAUCAUGCCCCUUAUGUCCAGGGCUUCACACAUGCUACAAUGGUCGGUACAACAGGUCGCGAAACCGUGAGGUGGAGCUAAUCCUUUAAAGCCGGCCUUAGUUCGGAUUGGGGUCUGCAACUCGACCCCAUGAAGUCGGAGUCGCUAGUAAUCGUAGAUCAGCAACGCUGCGGUGAAUACGUUCCCGGGCCUUGUACACACCGCCCGU
rnacentral:rRNA from 1 species